AGAGCGAACGCUGGCGGCAGGCCUAACACAUGCAAGUCGAGCGCCCCGCAAGGGGAGCGGCAGACGGGAGAGUAACACGUGGGAACGUGCCCUUUGGUUCGGAACAACACAGGGAAACUUGUGCUAAUACCGGAUAAGCCCUUACGGGGAAAGAUUUAUCGCCAAAGGAUCGGCCCGCGUCUGAUUAGCUAGUUGGUGAGGUAACGGCUCACCAAGGCUACGAUCAGUAGCUGGUCUGAGAGGAUGAUCAGCCUCACUGGGACUGAGACACGGCCCAGACUCCUACGGGAGGCAGCAGUGGGGAAUAUUGGACAAUGGGCGCAAGCCUGAUCCAGCCAUGCCGCGUGGGUGAUGAAGGCCCUAGGGUUGUAAAGCCUUUCGGCGGGGAAGAUAAUGACGGUACCGCAGAAGAACGCCCGGCUAACUUCGUGCCAGCAGCCGC
rnacentral:rRNA from 1 species